CUGUAUUCAAGAGAUAAACGUUUCAUGGCGAAAUCUUAGGCGUACAUUUUACAGUUGUUAUCACAUCGUUCAAAAUUUGAAAUCCCUGAAAACAUAUCCUACUUCAAUCUUUCCUUCCUCUCUCCCCAUAAGAAGCCCUAACACGCAUCCACCUUGUCAUUUUAUACUGCCAUAUACAGAGAGGUGUUGAAGAUCGGAAAAUCUCUACACACACUCACCACUCUCGCUCAAUACAGGUUGAAAUCUCUGUACCCUUGAAGGUUUAAUCGUUUAAGCUACCACUCCCCGUGCCAUCACCAUCAACAACCACACAUCGCACCAUGCCAUCAGGAACCACUCUUCUGUUUUUUUUGUUUUCUAUUUUUGAAAAUCCAGUUACGCCUCCUCCUAACUCGAAAUCGAGUUUCAGUUGAUGGAGGUUUGCUCCUAUUUUUUUCCCUUUCUACUAUGGUGGUAGAGUCUUAGUCCCAAUAAUACGAUGUUGGAGUUCAGUUAUAUUCCAGUGAAAAAAAUUUACAGGAAGGGAGCCAAUCGCAAACCCUAGGCGAUUUCAUUUCUUCAAACAAAUAUGUUUAUGAAAUAUCUUUAAUUUCAUGUUUUAUUAUGUUGAAUUUCGUUUGUUUAGUUAACCAUGGAUAUUGUCAAAAAAAAUUCAGAGGAUAUGGCCGAGAUCUUGAUUUAUCUAUCUUUUGAUGUUUUUGUUAAUUUUAAUUUUAAUUUGCUAUAUAUUGUUCAUUCUUCAAAUUAUAAGGAUAGUUUUUUUUUUUGUUGUUACAGGAAAAUGAAUUUCACCGGCUGCUCCAAGUUUCAAAAACUAAGUCUAAUCACUUGCUGUCUUCUUAAUUUCCAUAAUAUGAAAAUUUUACCCAAUUAUGGUAUAGUAAUUUCAUAUUAUUUCUAUAAGCCAAUCUGUAAAGUUUUUUCUUAUUAUGUACUUUGAGAAGUUUGAAAUUACAACUUCUAGAGCAUGCUAUAUUUGUCUAAUAUUAUCCAUUUUGGUGUCAUUGUUGAUUGUAGGUAAAGUGGAUUUGUGUUGGCUUUGUUGGAAAUUGUGCAUACGUUUUUUUACUUUUGCUGAUUUUGUGAUGUAGGCCUUGCCGAAUUAGCAAAUUGCUGAUUACCCGAAUUAGCAAACUGCUAAUUACCCACCAAAAUUGGUUCCAGAACUGUUUGCAGCAAUAAUUUUGUUUUGGAUUCAGGUACUAUAAUUUUGUUUUAUUUAGUUCUAAAUUAUAAAUAAUAAAAUGAAUAACUUUUGAUUCUCAAGUCCGUUUUAACCAUUGUAAUCAUUGCAUUUAUUUAAUCUAUUAUUUAGUUAUCAUAGUUUUAGGUCACAUGUAUGUAGGUUUAUUUUUUAUUGCUAUAAAGCACAAAGAAAUGAUAGUAGGAUGCUAUAAAGCACAAAGAAAUGGAAGUAUGUUGCUUUAUUUUUUAUUUUUUUGGGCUAUUAGCUGCCAAAAGGCCAAAUUUGUUUAAUGUCAAAAGGCCAAAGUUUUGUUUUAUUUUGUCAAACUAAUGGAUUUUGUUCUUCCUGUAUCUAGGUUGGAGAUAACUUUAGUAAAUUUGGGGUUUUGCAUUUUUUUUGCUACCUAAUUCUAAUGCUACCAUUUACUUUUAUGUGUUUUGUAAUGAAAUACUCUUAUACUUUGAAUAAGAUGGGAGUUAGUUACUUACAUAUUUUCUUUCUUGCAAGCGUGUACUGAUGCAAAAUAUGUAUGAAGAUACCACGAUUUUAAAACUCAAAAAUACUAAAAUUUCUAUUUAUAUAGACAUAGAAAUUAAUCAUAAAAAGGUUAUUUUAUGAUUCAAAUAUAAAUGAGCAAUGAUAGUACCCAUUAAAAAUGAUGAUUUUGCUUUCAUGUUUUUGUCAUUUCCGUGUAAGUACGAGUGUUUGAUACUUUCUUUGGAUAUAUUGUAAAAAAUAUAUUAAUUUGUUUUAACAC
rnacentral:lncRNA from 1 species